GGAUUAGAUACCCUGGUAGUCCACGCCGUAAACGAUGGAAGCUAGCCGUCAGGUUGUUUACAAUUUGGUGGCGCAGCUAACGCAUUAAGCUUCCCGCCUGGGGAGUACGGUCGCAAGAUUAAAACUCAAAGGAAUUGACGGGGGCCCGCACAAGCGGUGGAGCAUGUGGUUUAAUUCGACGCAACGCGCAGAACCUUACCAGCCCUUGACAUCCUGGUCGCGAUUUCCGGAGACGGAUUUCUUCAGUUCGGCUGGACCAGUGACAGGUGCUGCAUGGCUGUCGUCAGCUCGUGCCG
rnacentral:rRNA from 1 species